UAGCAGGAGAUAUAUGGUUGCUGACAACAGGAGUUGAUACUAGAUGGGACUGCAUAUGAAUAGCCUUGUGGCCAAGAUCCUCAGACUCUGUUGUAACCUUUUUCCUUUUUUGGACUUUGGAUCACAAGAAUGCCUGGCAGAUGAUACCGUCACAUUGUUUGUAUUAAACAGAGGAGUAGUUUGCAGAAAUACAUUUUGUAGACCUACAUUAGAAGCUUGCAGAUUAGGUGGGACAUUCUUAAUGCUAGAGGAAGAAGGUGCAGAAGUUCCUUUGAUUGAACUGGACUUAAUUGUAUCAGUGACAGGUGAUGCAGAGAGAUAGGAAUUGUUAUCAA
rnacentral:lncRNA from 1 species